GAUGAACGCUGGCGGCGUGCCUAAUACAUGCAAGUCGAGCGAACAGAUGAGGAGCUUGCUCCUCUGACGUUAGCGGCGGACGGGUGAGUAACACGUGGAUAACCUACCUAUAAGACUGGGAUAACUUCGGGAAACCGGAGCUAAUACCGGAUAAUAUAUUGAACCGCAUGGUUCAAUAGUGAAAGACGGUUUUGCUGUCACUUAUAGAUGGAUCCGCGCCGCAUUAGCUAGUUGGUAAGGUAACGGCUUACCAAGGCGACGAUGCGUAGCCGACCUGAGAGGGUGAUCGGCCACACUGGAACUGAGACACGGUCCAGACUCCUACGGGAGGCAGCAGUAGGGAAUCUUCCGCAAUGGGCGAAAGCUUGACGGAGCAACGCCGCGUGAGUGAUGAAGGUCUUCGGAUCGUAAAACGCUGUUAUUAGGGAAGAACAAAUGUGUAAGUAACUAUGCACGUCUUGACGGUACCUAAUCAGAAAGCCACGGCUAACUACGU
rnacentral:rRNA from 1 species